GUAAUACAAGAAACCUAUAGCCAUUGUAAGAAAUUGUGUCUUCUCUCUCUAUCUGGAAUUGCGCGUUUUUCAGGUUUUUCCGUCAUGUCACCUAGACGUAGGAAAUGCUUCCCUAGCAGGGGGAGCCAUGUCUAAAGAAGUGUUCGUCAGGCUAGAUUGAUUAUCAAGAUGGCGGAUCGGAAUUUUGGGACAGCUUUUCAGUAAUGACCUAUCUAAUUCUGAAAGGCGUCGUCUUCCGGUUUAAAGCUUACAAGCAGACUAUCAGUACGAUGUUGCUGUUCAUCGCGCGAGAGACAUGAUGAAGGAUUUAGCCGAGAAAGAGUUUUCACGAUUCCUAGAAGUACGAAGUAGUGUGGCUCGCCCUAUUCAAUAGUUUUAUCUGAAACAGAAUAGAACAACAAUCUUCACAUGGACCCAAAAGUAUGACCUCUACUUGAUGCUUUCACAUAGACACAAGUUUUCUCUAUUUUCUAGUGGUUUUACUUCCAAGAGAAGAGGUUGUGAAUGUUUGCAUGUUCACUAAACCGCGUUGAACAAAGGAGAUAGGGGAACCCUCAUAAAUUCUUUCGAUGUGAUAAAAGAGAUCUAUUGUUGAUGAAGAAGAAAAGCCGUCUAACUCUCGUGUCUAAACAAAUUGUAAUGUUAUAAACACUUAGUUCGGUCUAUCACCUGUUAUAACAGAUAAGCGAUUAAGACACUUGUUAUCAUUUAGAAAAUGUCGAUGACCUUUUUGAAUAGAAAAAAAAAAUUAAUCAACUAGAUAUUGACCAAGUAUUUUGUCAGUCAGUUUAGUUCUUGAUUACAUCAACAAGAUCAACAAUAACAAGAAGCGCAACAAGAAGUGCAAAACAUCUUCAAACAUGGGUAAAGUCUAUGAGAGAAACGGGAAUUUGUAUUAGGACAGAUAUCAGAUGAGAUCUCAACCGAAAGACCUCAUUACUGCCGUAGGUAGUCAAUUGGUAUGGAGACAAAAUCGUCCCACAAACAGGUCAACGCCCAUUUUCACAAAAACGUGUUUUUAUUUUAAUCGAUUUCUAUAUAUUGAUUAUCACACGAUACACUAAAAACUGGUAUUCUACUCUGCCAGUUUUUCCUCUUUAAUAAGACUUCUUCAGGGCAGACAUUAAGAAGUCUUAUUGGCAGAGUCGAAUACAGUUUUUGGUGUAUUGUAUUUGUGUUUACGAACACGACUAUUUGGGCCUUUUAAAUGGAUUAUUACACGAAAUAUACCUAUGUUGCUUAGAUAUUAUUUCAGGUUUCUCUUGCAAAGAGUGAUGUGAUUUUGUAAAUAUCACUAUUUAAUAUGACGUCAUCGCUUUUUCAUUCGUAUUCACCGUGCUCAUUUUUUCUAUUAAGUAUAAUUUUAGGCUUAAUUUAUUUUUUAAUUCAAGCUGAGAGAUCGAUGGAUUAUUUUCUUGCAAAUAUCUCAUCGUUUCUUCCCUCUUUCUAAUAACUUGUUACCUCUCGUCGUGUUUUUGUUUUAUUAUAUAUUUAUAUUUUUCAAAAAUAUGACGCAAUCGUUUUCAAAAAUAUGGCGCCAUAGCUUUUAGUCCAGAAUUUUUUUCCUCUCAAUUCUUCUACACAACUGUUUUACUUUAUUUCCUACCAACAUAUUAGAUCAACUUUUUUUGUGUGUUAAAAUCUCCUUGUUUUCUGUAUUUUGUUAUUAUUUUAACGAUAAAGAAAAUAAUGGUUCACAAAUAGUAUUACGUAUGACAGUCUAAUAACCAACUGUGAGGCUCGGAAUUUUCUUCAUGGCGGUAACUUGCGUCACGGUUGGAAUGCAGGCCAGAAACACCCCCUCUUGACGUGGCUUUCAAACGAAACAAACAGAGCCGUCUUUCUCCUCCCUAAUUACUAUUGUCCCUCUCAGCCAAUCAGCGAUUAAUACUUUUUGAGAAUCUUUUAAAUGCCAUUCCAGUCCAAUUAACAAUUCACUUGCAGCAUAGCUGCGGUAUACUAACGCCUAACUAUUACCGACGUACGUCGAAAACGGUAAGCAGAAGUGGGAAAGAUUCAGUUAGGACUCGGUUAGAUAGUAAUAUAUUUAUCCUCUUUUUUUUCGGAGCAGAUAGAAAAGAUGGAUAAGACUACAUUAGAUUUCGUGCGAUCUCAUGUGUUCGAUGGCAAUCAAGAGAUGUCUUCAAGUUGCUCUGGUACACCCACACCGGAGAAAAACCGCACAAGUGCGACAAGUGCGGACGCGGCUUUAAGCAGCUCACACACCUCACAUACCAUCUGAGAACCCAUUCAGACGUGCGCAUGUUCACAUGCCAGUACUGCGGCAAGGGCUUCAACCAGAAGGGUAAUCUACAAGCUCAUGUGUACCGGCACACAGGCGAGAAGCCAUUCAAGUGUCAUAUCUGUGGCAAAGGCUUCACCUUGGCCUCCACGCGCAACACACACCUUCGCACGCACGCCAAAAAAAAGCCAUUUCAGUGCAAAUACUGUGAAAAAGCUUUCUAUCAGAAGAAUGCUCUGAAAUCGCAUUACAUCUCGUCUCAUCCUUAUAGCGGGGGUGUAAUGUUGCUUUGAGAAUCUCUAGAACCUUUAGUUGGAGUCAUUUAAAGAAUAAUUUGACAGAAUGCCAAUU